CAUGUUCAAUGCAAAACUGGGAGGUAGAACAGCAGAUUUAUGUUAGUCGCAUGGGUGAGGAGACAAUGUUCAAGCCAAGAUCAAAAGGGCAGGUAAGAAGGCAACUAAAUAUCUUUCCAUUUCUCCCUCCAUGCAUGAAGGAAAUUAUCUGGGCAGAGUGGACUGCAGGAACCCAGGCCCUACAGUGGAAAAGAAAGGGAUGUACUAGAGGGACAAGAGAAGGCUGGUGGUGCCCACUGAAGAAACUGAUGCAGUGUUCUUCCCUCUGGAACUAAGACCUCUAGGCCAGAAGAAAAUAGUGUCGCAGGAAGUGAAAGUGAAAAUUUUGCUACUGGAUCACUAGGGGUGAUGGUGAGUAGUGCCACUUUCACUGCCAUCCCUUGAUUCUUGGACCCAUGAAUCCUGGCUAUGGGAGAAACAGUACCAUAUAUUGUAUGCUGAUUCAGAGCAAACAUGACCUUCUAGAGAACUUUGCCCCAGAUCUGCAAAGAAUUGUCAUCUAGUUGACAUUGUAAUUGUGACU
rnacentral:lncRNA from 1 species